AGAGUUUGAUCCUGGCUCAGAUUGAACGCUGGCGGCAUGCUUUACACAUGCAAGUCGAACGGUAACAGGGAGCUUGCUCCGCUGACGAGCGGCGAACGGGUGAGUAAUGCAUCGGAACGUGCCUAUUUGUGGGGGAUAACGUAGCGAAAGUUACGCUAAUACCGCAUACGCCCUGAGGGGGAAAGCGGGGGAUUCGUAAGAACCUCGCGCAAUUAGAGCGGCCGAUGUCGGAUUAGCUAGUUGGUGGGGUAAAGGCUCACCAAGGCGACGAUCCGUAGCGGGUCUGAGAGGAUGAUCCGCCACACUGGGACUGAGACACGGCCCAGACUCCUACGGGAGGCAGCAGUGGGGAAUUUUGGACAAUGGGCGAAAGCCUGAUCCAGCCAUGCCGCGUGAGUGAAGAAGGCCUUCGGG
rnacentral:rRNA from 1 species